CAAGACGGACUCCACGCGCGUGACCAGAACGCGCUCUGAUUGCUCCUUCACCCAACGAAGGGAACGAACGAACGCGGCGUCUGUUGCGUCAGUUGUGUGGCGGCUGUCGUUGGCGCCUAACGUGGAUUGCUGUUUCUCGCAGGCGAUCGAGCAAUGUGGACCCGGCCGCAGCACACAAGUGACGCCUCCUGAACCUGGGCCAGCCAAAGAGCAUUCAUUCGCCGAAAGCAAAGCAGCCAGGAGAAGUCCCCACACCAACAAGUACCGGAUUCUUAUUAUGGUGUGUCAACAUCUCAGCAAGUUCUCGGUGCUGAGGGGCUUGCACUUAAAGGCAAGUGUAAUUGUCUACUCAUCUGAAGUGUAUAUCAUUUCAUAUCAUUU